CUUAUACUCCCUUCGUUCCAAAUUACUUGUCGCAAAAAUGAAUGUAUCUAGAACUAAAAUACAUCUAGAUACAUCCAUUUUCGCGACGAGUAAUUCGGAACGGAGGGGGUAUAAG
rfam:Triticum urartu cultivar G1812 contig20440, whole genome shotgun sequence.